rnacentral:snoRNA from 1 species
UUCCCAAUGAUGUUCAAACUUAGCUAAUUGUGAGCCAUCUCGUUUUGAGAGGAAUAAUUACUACAUCCUCUCAAAAUAGACGUUGGCACUGAACGCACUUUGCCGAAGCUGAGGGGU